AGGAUUCUAUCCAGCCAUUCAGAAUUUGGAGAGCUGAUUUGAGAUCGAAUUGAUAAUCUGAAAAAUAAUGACUUGGCUGAGACCCAUCGAUACUGAGUUUUGAGGUUUAUCAGUUGGGGACUAGAGCGGGAACAUCGUUUUUGGAGACAGUUAGAUCUUUUGAUCAGGCUGCUGGAAAGGUCAAGCCAUGUUGUUUACGUUGCUGGGUGAUUGGG